GACUAAUUGAAACAUUCCACUGAUAUGAGCUGAAAUGAAUUUUCACAAUACGAACAGCUUCACGAGCAACCAUAAGAGCAAUGAGCUUCUGCAGAAACAUGACAUAUUGUUAUCAGCAGAAUAGUGAAUAUUUGUCAAGGUUGUCCAAAUUCGGUCCUGGAGGGCCUGUGACUUGCAGCGGCCCUAGCUCCAACUUGCCUGGAAGUUUCUAGUAUGCCUGAUAAAAACUGAAAGAGUUGUCGGAAGCUUAGUGAUGGUGACAUUGAAGUUGUGGGACCGUUCAUUUUGAUUUCAUGGUGACUUUAAAGAUGUGGCUGAAUUUGGUUUUGUGACUAGAAAGUGAACAUCCCAGUUCAUAACAGCUUCAGCUAUGACCUUGCUACUUCACAUACUAUUUUCUUAACAGAUUUACUCAAAAGAACAAAGAGAAGUGUUCAGAAAAUGUAGUCAAAACAGAUUAUCAAUCUACUCAUCUGAGCACAAAUCUCAUAACGACUGUGCAUUGUGUAUGGGGCAGAAACAGAUGUGCGGACUGAAGCAGGAAAUGGCCAGUGAGGAGGCAACAAGGACACACAGUAGCUGCAUGAGGGACGCUGGGCUGCUUGGCUUGGCUGGGAUUGACACGUGUCAAUGUAAUUUCCACAGCAGGGCAAAGAGUGAGCUUUCUGAUUAAAUGAACACGGUUUCCUGGUAGCCCAUGACACGACUGCAGUCAUUUCAUAACUAAAAGUGCCCAUAUCAGUUUUCAGAACAAAGCCAUGUUGCCAAGUACUGUUAAAUAAUGUUGCUUGUUCACUAAUUCCUUCUACAUAGAGAUCACCAGCGCUGUUUGAUUAUGGACCCUUUUUACUGAAUGUGAUGCCGCAUUUCCACAGUUAUCAACAUUGCAAAUUCAUAAAGUUUUUCAUAUUUUAAUUUGUAAAAAACAUUUAUAAUGCUAUAUAUUAUCUUGUCAUUAAAUUACAAAAAAAACGUGUUUCUGUGGAGUGAGUGAUGGCAAGGGAGUGAGGGAGUGAUGGCAAUUUCUCCCUGAUAAAAUAUUUUAGAGCUUGGAAUUACUAGUAAAAUGUAUAUUCAUAAAAAUAUUUAAAAAUGCCCAUGUGGGUUUAGGUUUUUAUUCAUUUACAUUACUUUUCCAGGUCUAUAAAUCAUACUUGAAAAUUAGGCUUUCUGAUAUCCAGGAUUUCCAAGACUGUGAGAGCCCAGAAAAGAAAGGGAGUAUAUCUUGAUAUAUAGUUGUUUUAGAUUAUUUUAAUGUUGUUCGUAUUUUAAAGCAUUUUAAGUAAUCUUAAAGUUUUGCUGAGGCCUCUCUUUGAGAAGUGGACUAAAAGACAAUCCUGGACCUUUGCUGGCCCACACAGGUAAUUCCUAUCCAUUAUACCAUUACUAUACCAUUAUACUAUAGUGUAUGUAUAUAUUUUGAUGGACUGUAUUAUAACAAUCAUGACUGUUUAAGUGGUCAAAGUCUAUGAAUCUUGUAAUCAGAGACUUUGAGGAGUUCAAAUAGGUGAUUCAAGUGAAAAUUUCAGUAAAGUCAAAGGGUAAAUCUGAUUGUGUUUAUUUGAUGAUUUUAGUAACUUAAUUAACUUGACCUGUGUUGUCAGCCUCAUGCAGGUGACUCAUGUACAGACUGAAGUGGGAUUGGCAUAGCACAGGAAGCUGCUCGGAAACAGUUACCUGCUGGAACAUCAUUAAUUUUCAUCGAGCGGGAUGAGUGAUUAGGCACAAUCUUUUGAAACUGCCGUGGAUGAACGAUAUUGGGGCCGCACCUAGAAUUCUAAAGGCCAGGAUCCACCACUUUGUUUUAUAUUGGGACAUACUGACAAUAUAUUUUUAACACUUUACAUGUUUGUAGGUUCGUAUAUUUGAAGAUUUAAAAAAAAAGAAAUACUCUGAACCCUAUAGAUUUACACAAACUGAGAAAGUCAAAAAGCAUUAAGUUGUUCCUCGCUCUCCCUCCUAUUUCUGUGGUUGUGUUUCCAUUAGGGACACUGACAUUGCUGUUUCUGUUAAGUUCAACAAGAAUUGCAGCAAUUAUCAAACAAGACAAUUAGAAUGAGUCUUGAUUGGAAACAUAGUUUUAGUUAUUACCCAUUAAAUCAAAAAUACCAUUUCACAUGAAAGGCUCUAUAUUAGCUUGGAACACAGCUCAGGACUUUGUCACAGCCUCAAGCCUUAGAUCCAGCAGGCCAGAGAGAGUGUAAAUGAGAAGCAGUGGACAGCUGUACAUUGACCCUGAGAAAAUAUAGUCACUCUAAAAUGGUGUCAUAUGAAAUCAGUCUUCAAUUGUCAGACUGAAAAAUGGAGAGAUGUGUCUGAACGGGUUUGUGUGUGCGUAUCCAUGUUACAUAGAAAAGCCACUUACCCUCUCGUGUGAGUGUGGCCGGCUGUUCAGGGGCCGGAUUUAAAUUUGUAGCCAUUGGGUGCACUCUGAAGUUGCCUGAGAAAAUUAGAUGUCAUAUUAGUCUACACUUGGUCUCAUCACAAAAGCAAAUAAAUCUCAUGUUACACAACAUAAUCGAGAUCGCCUCUUUAGUGAAAUUUUAUACAGCAUUUAAAUAGGCACCACAGUUGUGCGCCAUUCAGAAUUGAAUUGAGAAGAAUUUUUAAGUUGAGGUAGCAAACAGGAUGCAUUUGAAUUUAAAGGCAUGAAACAGAUGUUGUGAUGGUCUUUUCUUUCCUAUUGUGAUGUAUAUCCAAGUGAAACAGCUUCUCAAAAAUGAAAAAAUGUGCGGCGGGACUUGAUUUUGUUCAUCAGGAAUUGAUUGGAUGGUUGUGGUUUGCUAUUGCUGUGAUCUCAUUUGAGUGACAGGUUGUCCCGCCCUCACUCAAGAAUGCCACUGGAAGAGGAAAGGGACGGUUCUUUGAUUAAAGAUUAAGAUGGCACAUGAUAGAAAUAAUGAUGUGUACCGAUAAAUCAUUUAUAAUAAAUACUGCAAUAUUGCAUAAAAAAUAACAGGGAUAUUCAUAUAACUGCAAAACAUGUAAUAAUAAUAGCUAGAAAGAGAAAUUUUAGUUUACAGAUGUUUAAUAAGUUGUUGUUUGAAGGUUUUAUUAGACUGUAAACCCUAACACUCAAAUAGAUAAUUGGUUUGAGUAGUACAAACUUAAAUUAAACACAUUUGUUCAGUCAAAUUAACUUUUAUGAGUAGUUUGGAUAGUUACCAUCAUGGUAAUGCAACUUGGUUUGAGAACAGGUAUAUUAAAUGUUUUAUAUUGCUGUACUCAUUAAGCAAGUGUUAUACCAUGCUAUUGCUAACAUGCUAGCAAAUUAGCAUUUUCUGAAUUAGCUUGUUAUAGCUAGCUAAGUUUCCACUAAUAAAAAUAUUUGUUGAGAUCACAUGAUAAUUUUAAGUUAAUGUAUUAAUUAAUGUACUCAAAUAUUUCAAUUUAAUAACAAUUAAAAUGUAUGAGUAUAAAAUAAAAAUCUGCCAGUUCUGCUUAUAUGCUGUUAGGAGUCCAUAACAGUGUUAAACAUGUCACUUUCUGUUGCCAGCAGGUGGCGUUAUGACUAUAACUGAAUAUGUGCAUGGACAUGUGUUCAGGACAGGACUUUUAUCAAGUGUAUGAAGUUUGGGGCAGAUCGGACAUUGUUUGCCUUAGUUACAGCAACUUCCUGUUUCAUGGCGAAACAUCAAAUUUGUAGAAAAAUGGACAUGCCCUUUUACGAAAACUCAAGAUCUUCGCAAUUUAGCACAAUUUAGCAUCGCACAAGCCUUUUGAUUACACAAACCAAAUUUGAAGAUGAUCGGAUUAAAACUGUAGGAGGAGUUCGGUAAAGUAUGAGGCAUGAAAAUGGCCAAAACUGCACAAAAAUCGCACAGGAAAUUCAAAAUGGCUGACUUCCUGUUGCGUUUAGGACUUUGCUCCAAGAGACUUUUUUGUAGGUAAUGGGAUGUUACAUGUACGCACUGAAUUUCGUACAUGUUUAAAUCUCUUAAAUUUUUUAAUGUAACCGAUUGCCUC